rnacentral:rRNA from 1 species
UAGACGAGGGGAGUAACUAUUAGGAAACGAUAGCUAAGACCGCAUAGGUACGGACACUGCAUGGUGACGUAUUAAAGUGCCUCAAAGCACUGGUAGAGGAUGGACUUAUGGCGCAUUAGCUGGUUGGCGGGGUAACGGCCCACCAAGGCGACGAUGCGUAGCCGACCUGAGAGGGUGACCGGCCACACUGGGACUGAGACACGGCCCAG